AAAUAUGGAUAUAUUGAUCCCCUAAAUGCACCAGAUCCUGCUUGAUCUUGGAAGCCAAACAAGGUUAGCCCUGGUUAGUCCUUGGAUGGCAGACCACCAACAAACACUAGAUGCUGUAGGCU
rnacentral:rRNA from 11 species